GGCUAGGGGUGAAAUUGGAGCUGCAGCUCUGCAGGCCUACACCACAGUUGUGGCAACAGCAGAUCCUUAACCCACUGAGUGAGACCAGGGAUUGAACAUGCAUCCUCACUGACACUGUGUUGGGUUCUUAACCUGCUAAGCCACAAAAUGGGAACUCCCUAGACUUAGAGAUUUCAGACAUAAAUGAGCAUUUCCAUCUGUUUAUUUGGGUCAUGUGCCAGGGAGUAUCCUUAUUGUACCUCUGGCCCGACUGUCAUUCGUGAACAUCAGCUACCCGGAAAUGGAAAAAUAGAGCUACAAAUUUUCCUAUGCCCAAUACCUUUCUAUGCCUAACGGGGUUUAUGGAUGAAUUCACUUGCAUAUUAAAAUUUGUAUGUUAUAUCUUAAAGCAUUAUACAAAUAAAAAUAUGUUAUUGUGAGACUUACCUACUAGAACAAAAUAUGGAUAAUGAAUGAAAAAGAAAUAAGAGCCAAUAAAGCUCUAAGGUACCAUUUCUCUAGUUGGUUUAUUACUUUGAAAUAAAAGAAAUCUCAUUGGAAUUGCCCAUUUUAUUAAAAUCACCUUCAUAACAUUCAUGCCCCAAAUGGAAUAUUUCUUUUCAGCAUGGAAUUUCAGAGGUGAAAGAUACCUUUGUGAUUUUUAUUUGUUUGUGUAUUUGUUUUUGUUUUUUUUGGCUGCACUCAUGGCAUGUGGAAGUUCCUCGGCCAGGGAUCAAGCCUGUACCACAGCAGCAACCAGAGUCACUUCAGUUGCAAUGCUAGACCCUUAACCUGCUGUGCCGCAGGAGAACUCCAAUAUCUUUGUGAUUAUUGAUGAAAAUUCUCAGAUAUAAGAUAACAGAUAUUCAAAAAUGUUAAGCAGCAUUCCAAAUUCACAUAGCGAUUAUAAUUGCCACAGCUGACCUUGAAUUCAAACUUCUCCCAGCUCACCACUCUUGCUUCUCCAUUGCAGGACCUCUAAACUAUGUUACUUGGUAUACACUGUAUCAAACACUAGGGAUGACUGUGUUCUCAGCACAGUUAGAUGAUAGGU
rnacentral:lncRNA from 1 species